AUUGAACGCUGGCGGCAUGCCUUACACAUGCAAGUCGAACGGUAACGGGCCUUCGGGUGCCGACGAGUGGCGAACGGGUGAGUAAUACAUCGGAACGUGCCCGAUCGUGGGGGAUAACGAGGCGAAAGCUCUGCUAAUACCGCAUACGAUCUACGGAUGAAAGCAGGGGACCGCAAGGCCUUGCGCGGACGGAGCGGCCGAUGGCAGAUUAGGUAGUUGGUGGGAUAAAAGCUUACCAAGCCGACGAUCUGUAGCUGGUCUGAGAGGAUGAUCAGCCACACUGGGACUGAGACACGGCCCAGACUCCUACGGGAGGCAGCAGUGGGGAAUUUUGGACAAUGGGCGCAAGCCUGAUCCAGCCAUGCCGCGUGCAGGAUGAAGGCCUUCGGGUUGUAAACUGCUUUUGUACGGAACGAAAAGCCUUCUUUUAAUACAGGAGGGUCAUGACGGUACCGGAAGAAUAAGCACCGGCUAACUACGUG
rnacentral:rRNA from 1 species